rnacentral:rRNA from 1 species
UACGUAGGGGGCUAGCGUUGUCCGGAAUCAUUGGGCGUAAAGCGCGUGUAGGCGGUCCGGUAAGUCCGCUGUGAAAGUCGAGGGCUCAACCCUCGAAUGCCGGUGGAUACUGUCGGGCUAGAGUGCGGAAGAGGCGAGUGGAAUUCCUGGUGUAGCGGUGAAAUGCGCAGAUAUCAGGAAGAACACCCGUGGCGAAAGCGGCUCUCUGGGACGGUACUGACGCUGAGACGCGAAAGCGUGGGGAGCGAACAGG